rnacentral:rRNA from 1 species
AUUGAACGCUGGCGGCAGGCCUAACACAUGCAAGUCGAGCGAGAGGAGGACGGGUGAGUAAUGUAUGGGGACUGCCCGAUAGCGAGGGAUAACUACUGGAAACGGUAGCUAAUACCGCAUACUAUCGGAUAACCCAUAUGGUAUUAGCUAGUUGGUGAGGUAAUGGCUCACCAAGUCGACGAUCCCUAGCUGGUCUGAGAGGAUGAUCAGCCACACUGGGACUGAGACACUGCCCAGCCUCCUACGGAGGCAGCAGUGGGGAAUAUUGCACAAUGGGCGCAAGCCUGAUGCAGCAAUGCCGCGUGUAUGAAGAAGGCCCUAGGGUUGUAAAGUACUUUCAGUCGGGAGGCGUUACCGACAGAGGAAGCACCGGCUAACUCCGUGCCAGCAGCCGCGGUAAUUC